AACUUUCGGCAACGGAUCACUUGGCUCUCGCAUCGAUGAAGAACGCAGCGAAAUGCGAUAACUAAUGUGAAUUGCAGAAUUCAGUGAAUCAUCGAAUAUUUGAACGCACCUUGCGCUCCUUGGUAUUCCGAGGAGCAUGCCUGUUUGAGUGUCAUUAAAUUCUCAACAUUCCAGCUUUUAUUAGCCGGGUUAGGCUUGGAUGUGGGGGUCGCAGGCUUCGCUUCUGAGGUCGGCUCUCCUUAAAUGCAUUAGCGGAACUUUUGUGGACCGUCUAUUGGUGUGAUAAUUAUCUACGCCGUGGAUGUGAAACAGCUUUAUAAAGUUCAGCUUCUAACAGUCCAUUAACUUGGACAAUUUUGACAAUUUCACCUCAAAUCAGGUAGGACUACCUGCUGAACUUAAGCAUAUCAAUAAGCGGAGGCU
rnacentral:misc_RNA from 1 species